rnacentral:rRNA from 1 species
GCCUGCAGCCAUAUCACCCUGUAGCCCAAGACUGGUUGCCCACUGAAGCUAAGCAGGGCUGAGCCUGGUCAGUACUUGGAUGGGAGACCUCCUGGGAAAACUAGGUUGCUGCUGGAA